CUCAACUGUUCAGAAGACAGAGUCAUGUGACAGACAGACAAAGAGUGAAGAAAAUGGGCCAGGUUGCUGAGAGGUCAAUAUCUAGGACAGUUGCAAUUAUUUGUAGCAUAUCUGAUAGCACAGUGAAAUUAGAAGUCAGAGAUGGACAUAAUUCUUACAACAAUGCUUCUUGGAGAGAUUGACUUCACAAACAAUCAAUACUCGCAUCAAAGACCAACAUGCAAAACCUGUAAGGAAGGUGGAUGUCAGGCAUUGUCAACAGUUAACUCUUGAUACAUUGUAAUUUAAAACAAUACCUGUAUGAAAUGUUUACAUUGUCAUUAGGAAAAUGAAACUAAGUCAUCAUUCUUCUAGGGGUCAUUAAAUAGCAUAAUCUGAGUCUGAAGCAAACCAUUUAUGUCAUUACAAAAUUUUGAAAAUAGAAACAAAAGCAAAAUAAUGAUGGAAAAUGGACAGCAGGCUUAUUAUAAAAUUGAAAUAAAGAAAUAUUAGAAGAAAAUAAAUCUAUAUUAUAGGAGUCAGUAUUGCAACAAUUUUUUCACAAUUUUAGGGAAAUUAACAAGCUGGUGGAAGCUAUACAUUGUACAACAUAUGAUAAUUAUGAUUUAAGAUUAUAAGAUCCUAAAACUAUAAUGAACUCUUGAUUAAAACUAAAGUAUUAUAAGAGAAGGGAUUACUUUUGGAGAAAGAUGUACAUGUAUAUUGCACUUAUGUAAUCUCGUCUUAAAGAAUAUGUUGUAAUGUUAGGAGAUUUCUUAGCAGUUUAGAAAUAAAGAUUAUUGAUGUAUGAAGGUGUUGCAA